CGAGAAUAGAACAUAUUUUAUAACAAAAGAAGAAUUCUGGAAGAAGUAUAAAGGAAAGAGACAUUCUCCACCAAAAUUCUUAACAAAAGANNNNGAGACAAUAGCAAUCCCUUUUCCCCCUUUUUGGUUGGCGGAAGUGGAGAACUGGAGAUCUAAGAGAAAAACAGGUGAACCAGUAUUUUUGUGAAUUAUGGAAACAGGCAACCAACUUUGCAUGAAAAUAAAAUCUGAAAAAGUAGACUCCAAAGCAGAACCGAUAACAUGUAUAACAGAUGGAAACCCCAUGACCUGUGCCUAUAAGCAAACCAGGUGCAUCUAGGCCUCUUCCUGAUAUUCUUCUUCAUCCUCGUACUCAUCUCCUUCCUCAUCUGCAGUUGCAUCCUGGUAUUGCUGAUACUCUGACACCAAAUCAUUCAUGUUACUCUCUGCCUCUGUGAACUCCA
rnacentral:misc_RNA from 1 species